UACGUAGGUGGCAAGCGUUGUCCGGAAUUAUUGGGCGUAAAGCGCGCGCAGGCGGUCCUUUAAGUCUGAUGUGAAAGCCCACGGCUCAACCGUGGAGGGUCAUUGGAAACUGGGGGACUUGAGUACAGAAGAGAAGAGUGGAAUUCCACGUGUAGCGGUGAAAUGCGUAGAGAUGUGGAGGAACAUCAGUGGCGAAGGCGACUCUUUGGUCUGUAACUGACGCUGAGGCGCGAAAGCGUGGGGAGCAAACAGG
rnacentral:rRNA from 1 species